AAGAGGAGGCUGAGGUGGGUGCAGUGCCUUCCUGGGGGUGGGACGGCUGAGGCCCUGCCGGGCCUCACUGCACCCGCCCCGCAGCUCGUCCCCUCCGAGGUGCUCAUGCACCAGGCCAUCCACACCAUUGAGUUCUGCCUGGGCUGCGUCUCCAACACCGCCUCCUACCUGCGCCUGUGGGCCCUGAGCCUGGCCCACGCCCGUGAGUGACCUGGCCACCGAGGCUGGCCCCAGCUCCUGGCUUCUCACAUACUGCUGCUGGCUGGGCGGGUUGCGUCUCUCUGGGCCUCAGUUUCCCCUCUGUAAAGUGGGACUGUCCAAGGAGGUCCCUCGCCGGCCCCCCGUGCAGGGAGGGCUUCAGGCUGCGGCAGGUAGGUAGGGGGCUGGCAGGCACCCACUUGCCGUUGGCCCCCACUGUCUCCUUUGCUUGCAGAGCUGUCCGAGGUUCUGUGGGCCAUGGUGAUGCGCAUAGGCCUGGGCCUGGGCCGGGAGGUGGGCGUGGCGGCUGUGGUGCUGGUCCCCAUCUUUGCCGCCUUUGCCGUGAUGACUGUGGCCAUCCUGCUGGUGAUGGAGGGACUCUCAGCCUUCCUGCAC
rnacentral:sRNA from 1 species